GAUAAGUGAGACCAUGGAUAUGUCAAUAAGUUUCAUUUAAUCAUUCCAUAGUGUGUACACAUAUUAAAGCAACACAUUUUACCUCAUAAAUAUAUACAAUUGUGAGUUGUUCAUUUAAAAAUAAUUUUUAAAACCCUAAAAGUUUACAAGAUAUAAAUGAUAUAGAUGAGCUGGUAGUAUCAUUGAAGAAAAAUAAACAUUGCAACAUUUACUAAGCACCACAUAUACACUGAAUUCUUACAACCCUGGAAAAAUGAGAAAACUGACUCAGAAAGCAUAAGUAACUUAGUGUAAUAAAGAUAGAAUACGAAUUGGAUUGAUUCAUCUUUGAAGCCUACGCCAUUGCUCCCAAUGUAAUUUAUGUAGAAUUCAGGUUUCAUUAAUCCACAUGAACAAAUUUACUGAUAUGCUUAUUUUAAAAGAUAUUUUAAGUUGUGAGACUUUUUUGUGUUUUUUUUUUUGGUACUGGGGAUCGAACUCAGGACCUUGAGCUUGCAAGGCAGGCGGCGGAACCACUGAGCUAAAUCCCCUGCCCAGUUGUGGGGUUUUUUUGGAUAAUAUUUUCAAAAUGUUUUUCACUUGACAGGUCAUUUACAAGUUUAGUGUACUGGACUUAUGCAACUUUUAGGGACAUAAUACUUGAGAAAAGCUAGGAAAUAUCACUUCCUGUCUUUUCUUUUGCCAACAUUAUUUCAUCUGCAGGACGCAAAGAAUUUUCAGCAAAGAAUUGUGACGAAAGGCAGCUGAGUUCUUGUCCAUUAUUGAGGAGCAGAAAACAGGAAGCUUGAAAUGCCUUAGAAACAGGAGGGCGCAGAUAUUCAAAGGAUGGAUACAAGACAACACUGAAGUGGGGUCUGGCUACGGCGGAACAGAGCUUCGAAGAAAGAACAAAACAGAGCUGCAGGAAAGAGCUGGUAUGAAGCCUCAGUAUUCAUAUGUAGAGAAGAAAAAUCCUCUGAGUUUUCAGGAGAAAAAAAAGUCAGGAGAAAGAAAAGUUUGCAAGUUCAUCUGCAUAAUAAAAGAACGGAGCCUGGAGUUGAGAAAGAGAGAGACUUUACAUACUCUUUCACUGGGGGUUACCUUUCCCACUUUGAGGCUGCCAAAGGAGAUGACUCGGAAAAAAACCAUUUUAUGCAAGUUGCCAAACCAGUAUAACAUUCACAAGACUUCAUUACCUCCUUGUACAUCUUCUUCAGUUAUUUGGUAUUUAAAUCAUUGUAUUUUGUUUUUUGAAUAUUGAAUGUUGGGUUCAAAUUUAAGUUUUUUCUCUCUAGAAUUAUCUACAUAUUCCACAUAUAAAAUGUCUAAUAGUUUGUGCAAAUUAAGAGACUAU
rnacentral:lncRNA from 1 species